GGGGAAGUCGUUCAACGGUAGGACGCAUGAGGGGCCCUAGCUGUCUCAUUCAUUUGACAUGCGAAAGGUGGCAAACUCGUUAUUGCCGGUACCAUUCAAUUCAUGAGAUGUGGUGUUCGAUUCCCACCUUCUCCA
rnacentral:tRNA from 1 species